GAACGCUGGCGGAAUGCUUUACACAUGCAAGUCGAACGGUAGAGGGGGCAACCCUUGAGAGUGGCGAACGGGUGAGUAAUAUAUCGGAACGUCGCCCAGUCGUGGGGGAUAACGUAGCGAAAGUUACGCUAAUACCGCAUACGAUCUAAGGAUGAAAGCGGGGGACUCGCAAGAGCCUCGCGCGAUUGGAGCGGCCGAUAUCAGAUUAGGUAGUUGGUGGGGGUAAAGGCUCACCAAGCCAACGAUCUGUAGCUGGUCUGAGAGGACGACCAGCCACACUGGAACUGAGACACGGUCCAGACUCCUACGGGAGGCAGCAGUGGGGAAUUUUGGACAAUGGACGCAAGUCUGAUCCAGCCAUUCCGCGUGCAGGAUGAAGGCCCUCGGGUUGUAAACUGCUUUUGUACGGAACGAAAAGGUUUCUAUUAAUACUAGGAGCUCAUGACGGUACCGUAAGAAUAAGCACCGGCUAACUACGUG
rnacentral:rRNA from 1 species